rnacentral:lncRNA from 1 species
AAUAAGUUCACAUCAACAGCGGAAUGACGACUAACCGGCUAACUAGCUAGGCGGGAUUAGAACUAACAACUCGUGGCUCACGCUGCGUCCACCUCAGCGAUGAUGUUAGCGCGCGCGCACGGGCGAGUAUGCAUCCCUCCGCUCAUGUCACGGCUGUCUGAGCUUUCCGCUGUUGAAACCCCAAAGUGCUCUCUAGAAAAGGCCACGGGAUCGGUCGAAGUAUACUUGCGUACUACUCCUAUUAUUAGUAGGUAACAACGCACUGACACGCAGCAUCAUUUCGGGGCGGUGAUAGCGAGUUGCUUAACCUUGGGGCACAUGGAUCCUGGCCGCGGGCGCUCCAAAAGACGGAGGAUGCAUCCUUCUUUAUCUCGGCUUUUCGUCGCUCGUCUGCGGAGACGACGACCCCUUUCUGCAAUUCGCAGUUCGCAUCGCAUGCAUUCUGGAAUUGGCGUUUGCCUUUUGGUUUCAGCUUCCUCGCCACACGAGGAUGGAAAGAGACGGUCAGGUCUCAGGGUGCAGAAGGAGGGUCUGAAAAUUAUUAUAAUCUAGAGUUUCGCAGCAACAGCAGUCGGCCAGUCGUGUGCGGUUCCUGUUCCUUGUCCGAACAAGAUUACCGCGGAAGGCGGAUGAUGGUUCUACCUCUAGAAUGAAGAAGGAAAAAAAAGCGACGAACACUACGGCAACAGCAGAUUCACGUGGAAACCAAAAGCUGAUUCCAUUUAGGUUUUUCGCUGAAAUUGGUUUAUACUGAUAAUAGUUUGUUGUGAGAAAAAACAUUGUUUUUUCGUUGUAAGGUAUUGCUGAAGUAGUGUGGAAGAACAAUUCAGAGCACUUGCAUUUGGGCGAGUGCGGAAGACGACUAUGAUCUAGAGCAUCAAUUCACUUU